GCAAGCCCAGUCAAUCAGUGCGAGGCCCGCCGCGAGGGGGUCGGUCGAGGCAGCAGGUCCCCGCGCCGGGCGGCCCGAGGCGGGCAGUGUAGCGGGGGAAGAGGAGAGCGCUAAGUUUAAAAGAGAACAGGGAGGGACGGCUGAGGAGCCGAGGACGCGGUGCGCUCGGCUGGCGCCUCGAGGGAAAGGAAAAAAAUGGAUAAAUCUAGAGGUAUUGAGAGGUUGAGACAUUCAUCAUCUUUGCUGCUGCUUCCAGAAAGAAAGGGAGGCAAAGGAAAGAGGUGAAAUGCUGCACUCCAGCCUUGGUAUCUUGAAACCUGAAGAACGCACCCUGUUUUGACCACUCUGUCAGUUUUCUGUGUUCCUGAAAGCCUUCACUUUUCCAGAAGAAACAGAGCUGCUGAGCAUGAUUUUUUAUGACUCUGAAUAUUUUCCUCGUGAUUCAUGAUGCUUGUCUCAAAUCUUCACUGUGUUCUUGAAUAAAUUGUAUAUUUUUCCCUGAAGAAAA